GACGAACGCUGGCGGCGUGCUUAACACAUGCAAGUCGAACGUGACUUUUGUGGAAAUUCUUUCGGGAAUGGAAAUGAAAUGAAAGUGGCGAACGGGUGAGUAACACGUGAGCAACCUACCUUACACAGGGGGAUAGCCGUUGGAAACGACGAUUAAUACCGCAUGAGACCACAGAAUCGCAUGAUAUAGGGGUCAAAGAUUUAUCGGUGUAAGAAGGGCUCGCGUCUGAUUAGCUAGUUGGAAGGGUAAAGGCCUACCAAGGCGACGAUCAGUAGCCGGUCUGAGAGGAUGAACGGCCACAUUGGAACUGAGACACGGUCCAAACUCCUACGGGAGGCAGCAGUGGGGAAUAUUGCACAAUGGGGGGAACCCUGAUGCAGCGACGCCGCGUGAGCGAAGAAGGUUUUCGAAUCGUAAAGCUCUGUCCUAUGAGAGGAUAAUGACGGUAUCAUAGGAGGAAGCCC
rnacentral:rRNA from 1 species